UACAGAGGUGGCAAGCGUUGUUCGGAAUUACUGGGCGUAAAGGGCGCGUAGGCGGCCCGUCAAGUCCCGUGUGAAAGCCCCCGGCUCAACCGGGGAACGGCGCGGGAAACUAGCAGGCUUGAGUUCGGGAGAGGGAAGCGGAAUUCCGGGUGUAGCGGUGAAAUGCGCAGAUAUCCGGAGGAACACCGGUGGCGAAGGCGGCUUCCUGGACCGACAUUGACGCUGAGGCGCGAAAGCCAGGGGAGCAAACGGG
rnacentral:rRNA from 1 species